GCGAAAAUGAAAACAUUUUAGAAAAUAUAACACAGGCUGCUUCACUUAAAAAAAAAUUGAAGCAGUUACCAAAGAAAUACUAUCAAACAAAUCAUAGGAGAAACCAUCAAAUAAACAAAGAAAUACUAUCAAAAAAAUGACAGGAGAUACCAUCGAAUGAAAACUCUACUGAAUUACUGUUGUUAACUCAAGUCCAUUCAGGGCAUACGUUGUCGACGGAGGAGAAUUGGGAAAGAUAUGCGUAGGCAUACGCCGUAAGUAUUGCUUUCUAGGAAUAAUUCCUGUGUGUGUUAUCCACGGGAAUGAGGAAAGAAAAUAGAGGAAGAGAUGACAACACUGAAGAAGGAAAAUCACAGGAGCUAAGCUGCCAAAGGGGUGUGCUAGUUUCCAAACAAGAGCUUGGAACUUCCAGCAGGGAGAGAUAGCAACACUGAAGAAUCGUCAUCCAACAGCAGCUUCCACUCAACUGUGUGCGUUCACUGAGGACCUCAUAAUACUAUUUAAAUAUCAGUAGAGUUCCAAUUUGUAUUGAAUCACAUCACCCAGCCAAACACACCAUGCAAACACUAGGCAGCAAGCCAUGUUGCUCAACACCUUUAUUCUAUCUCUACUACCUACUGCUAGUGUCAUGCCUUCAUCUCUUUGAAGAAGCACAUGCAGCACGCCAUGGAGGGAUCUCACUGAGAUCUCAACACAUGGCCCUCCUUCAUUGGAAAGCUACAAUUGCAAGCCCACCACUACAGAUGAGCUCUUGGCAGGAAAACACCAGCCCAUGCAACUGGACGGGCAUAAUGUGCACGGCUGUUCGUCACGGCCGCCGCAUGCCCUGGGUGGUGACCAACAUCUCCCUGCCAAAUGUUGGCAUCAAUGGCCAGCUUGGUGAGCUCAACUUCUCGGCUCUUCCAUUCCUUGCAUAUAUUGACCUUCAUAACAACAGUUUCCAUGGUCCACUGCCCGCUAGUGUCAGCUCCCUGUCAUCACUAUCGGUACUUAACCUUGCCUACAACCAGCUUACAGGAAACAUUCCUUCUGAGAUUGGUGGCCUACAAAGUCUCAAGGUGCUUGAGCUAUCAUUUAACACACUCACAGGGGAUAUCCCUGCGUCUCUGGGAAACCUAACAAUGUUAACUCUUCUUGUCAUUCACCAAACCAUGGUAUCAGGUCCCAUUCCAGAGGAGAUUGGACGGCUUGUAUGCCUACAAAAUCUACAACUAAGCAACAACACAUUAAGCGGCACAAUACCAAAAACCCUUGGAAAUCUAACCCAACUAAAUGCUUUGUCGCUCAAUGGUAAUCAACUUUCAGGUCCUAUACCCCAAGAACUAGGCAGGCUAGUCCAUUUGCAAAGGCUUGUGCUUCAAUCAAAUGAUUUUUCAGGUCCAAUUCCAAUCUCCAUAACCAAUCUCACUAAGAUGAACACACUUUUUCUCUGUGAAAAUCAAAUCACAGGCCCAAUACCCCCAGAACUAGGCAAACUCCAUGUGCUAAACCUACUUGUGCUCUACCAAAAUCAAAUCACAGGCUCAAUACCCCUAGAACUAGGAAACCUGACUAUGCUAAACCAACUUGUUCUCUACAAAAAUCAAAUCACAGGCCCAAUACCUUUAGAAUUGGGCAACCUGCUAAAUCUCCAAUCAUUAGAAUUGUCAAUCAACCAAAUAUCUGGCUCUAUUCCUGCCAGCUUAGGAAAUAUGACCAAGAUAGCAGCACUAUGCCUCGCUGUAAAUCAGAUAACCGGUUCCAUACCAAAUUUCAGGAUCAAUACCAAAAACUUUUGGGAAGCUGCAAAGCAUUAAUGAUCUGCAAAUCUUUAGUAACAAAUUAUCAGGUUCUCUUCCUCGAGAGUUUGGAAACCUCACAAACCUUAUUAAUCUCGUGAUGACAAACAACUCACUUUCAGGCCCUUUACCUGCAAAUAUUUGUUCAGGUGGAAAACUUCAAGAUCUCGGUGUUGCAUUAAACAUGUUCAAUGGCCCCAUUCCAAGGAGUUUAAAGACAUGCACAAGUUUGCUUGUCAUUGACAUUCAGUUGAACCAACUAACAGGUGAUAUAUCUCAGGAUUUUGGUGCGUAUCCACAUCUCAUAUGGAUGAACUUGGCAUCCAAUAGAAUCUCUGGUCACAUCUCACCAAAUCUAGGUGCAUCUACCCAGCUAACAGUACUAAAGCUAGCAGAUAAUAUGAUCAUGGGUUCCAUACCUAGUAUCAUUUCCAAAUUGUCCAACCUAGUAGUAAUAGGAUUCGAUUCUAAUCAUCUCAGUGGUGAGAUUCCACCUGAAAUCUUUAGUUUAGAUCUAUAUUACCUGAACUUAUCAUCGAACCAGUUAUCUGGAUCCAUACCCACACAAAUAGAAAAGCUAAAAAGUCUAGGAUACCUUGAUAUAUCUUGGAACAGACUGAGUGGAUUAAUACCCGAGGAACUAGGUGCUUGCAUGAAACUAUUGUCCCUAAAGAUCAACAACAACAACUUCAGUGGGUGUUUGCCUGGUGCGAUUGGAAAUUUAGAAGGUCUGCAGAUGCGGUUAGAUGUGAGCUGCAAUAACCUUAGUGGUGUGUUGCCGCAGCAACUUGGGAAGUUGGAGAUGCUAGAAUUUAUGAAUAUAUCCCAUAAUCAGUUCAAUGGCAGCAUUCCAUCCUCCUUUGCAAGCAUGGUGAGGCUUUCCACACUUGAUGUGUCCUACAACAACUUGGAAGGACCAAUCCCAACAACAUGGCAUCUCCGAAAUGCUUCAGAUAGUUGGUUUCUUCCCAAUAAAGCUCUGUGUGGUAACCUCUCUGGACUGACUCCUUGUUAUUCAACUCUAGUAGUUGGUCGCCAUAAACAUAAGACACUUGGUUUGCUUUUGCCAAGUGUUCUUGUGGUGGGUUUCGCCAUUGUUGCUGGAAUUGUUGUCUUAAUAAUUCUUAGUCGUAACAAGAGAAAACCACAAGGUGUCACAGCUGAAGCAAGAGACCUAUUUUCUGUUUGGAAUUUUGAUGGAAGAUUGGCAUUUGACGAUAUUGUAAGGGCAACAGAAGACUUUGACGAUAAGUACAUCAUUGGAACAGGAGGAUACGGCAAAGUAUACAAGUCACAACUUCAAGAUGGGCAGCUAGUUGCUGUGAAGAAGCUUCAUCAGACAGAAGAAGAGUUGGAUGGAGAAAGAAGAUUCCGCAGAGAAAUGGAAAUCUUAUCACAGAUCCGACAAAGAAGCAUUGUCAAAAUGUAUGGAUUCUGCUCCCAUCCGGCGUAUAAAUUUCUUGUCUACGACUACAUUGAGCAGGGCAGCCUCCACAGGACAUUGGAAAAUGAGGACCUAGCAAAGGAACUAGAUUGGCAGAACAGAAUUGCUCUUGCAACUGAUGUGGCUCAAGCAAUAUCUUAUUUGCACCACAAAUGUAGUCCACCUAUAAUCCAUCGAGAUAUCACAAGCAACAACAUCCUACUUGAUACAACCUUCAAGGCUUUUGUCUCGGAUUUCGGCACAACAAGGAUUCUUAAGCCAGAUUCAUCAAACUGGAGUGCACUUGCAGGAACAUACGGCUACAUAGCUCCUGAACUCUCAUACACAUCUGUUGUGACGGAGAAAUGUGAUGUCUAUAGCUUUGGCGUUGUUGUGCUAGAGCUUGUGAUGGGGAAGCAUCCAAGGGAUCUAUUAGACGGUAGUUUUCCAAGUGGGGAGCAAGCUAUGUUGGUGAAAGAUAUUCUGGACGAACGGCCGACAACACCAACAACAACACAAGAGAAUAGCUUAUCUCUGCUCAUCAAGCUGGCCUUCUCUUGCUUGGAAUCUUCUUCACAAGCAAGGCCAACCAUGCGGGAGGCAUACCAAACACUCAUCAAGCGACCCUCUUCUAGCUCCUAUCCCGUGCCUUUCAGUGCACUUACAUUACAACAAGUAAGGGGUGCCUGUUGAUAUAUGAUCCGAAUUAUAGUGAGAAGCCAGGUUCUAUCGUAGUGGAAGCUGAUUUAGGUUUCCGUUUUGCCUCGAGUCAUAUAUGCCACCUACAUAUGUUGAAGUCUGUAAUUCUCUCAUGUCAUCUCGUAGGUAUUAUUUCUAGCAAAAAUAAAAACCGGUACAUGCACGUGAGCCUGUUCACGACAUGGCCGGAUCAGUAGCUACAUGUUGUUAUGAUCACCCCAUGAGAUAACAAGAGUAUCGACCAUAGCGGCUUAGAACUUGAGCCAUGGUCAAGGGACACGGGAUGGCACGUCCGUGAAGCUUCGUCAUGGCGCAAGAUUAGGAUCUUUCUGUUAGUUAAUUGAGCUAAUGAGCUGUUUACAUAAAUAGGAAAACGAAGCAAAAAAUCUGCCGCGACUUUCCACUGAUUCUUCUCCCUCCCGUUUAUGCUCCAACAACAUAUACUUCAGGAUGAGUUCAUGACUUAUUGUAAGCCUAUGUGUUUGUAGACACUCCUGAUAUAGUGAAAGAUCACCAUCGUUUGCCCAUGGUUUUCCCACAAGGGUUUUCUAACAAUGCAUAAAUAUAAUUUGUUUGGCCUGUUGCUUCUAAAACAUAUGCGGUCUCUAUGCUUAUAUUUGUUUAGACAUAAUGCUCACAUGUGACACUUUCUUCCGGCUAUUGUCUGCAAUGGUACUUGGAAUGGUGUGCAAUUUUAUUUUCUUUUUUAUCUACUUUUGCUCCCAUGAAGGUGAAGAUGGCGAAAACGAAAUCCAAAAUUGGCAUGAGAUGAUGAAGUCCCGAUUUAUUGUUCUCUAGGAAUCAAAGUAAAAUACCUUGGACAAAGCAGAAACAAUCAUAAUGAUCAAAUGGUUGAUGCAAACGAGAACAAAAGAAUGUAAAUACAUGAAGCUAGGUGCAGAAAAAAGGAAAA